UGGGGAAUUUUGGACAAUGGGCGAAAGCCUGAUCCAGCAAUGCCGCGUGUGUGAAGAAGGCCUUCGGGUUGUAAAGCACUUUUGUCCGGAAAGAAAUCCUUGGCUCUAAUACAGUCGGGGGAUGACGGUACCGGAAGAAUAAGCACCGGCUAACUACGUGCCAGCAGCCGCGGUAAUACGUAGGGUGCAAGCGUUAAUCGGAAUUACUGGGCGUAAAGCGUGCGCAGGCGGUUUGCUAAGACCGAUGUGAAAUCCCCGGGCUCAACCUGGGAACUGCAUUGGUGACUGGCAGGCUAGAGUAUGGCAGAGGGGGGUAGAAUUCCACGUGUAGCAGUGAAAUGCGUAGAGAUGUGGAGGAAUACCGAUGGCGAAGGCAGCCCCCUGGGCCAAUACUGACGCUCAUGCACGAAAGCGUGGGGAGCAAACAGGAUUAAAUACCCUGGUAGUCCACGCCCUAAACGAUGUCAACUAGUUGUUGGGGAUUCAUUUUCCUUAGUAACGUAGCUAACGCGUGAAGUUGACCG
rnacentral:rRNA from 1 species